rnacentral:rRNA from 1 species
CACGUAGGCACCAAGCGUUGUCCGGAUUUAUUGGGCGUAAAGAGCUCGUAGGCGGUUCGGUAAGUCAGGUGUGAAACCUUUGGGCUCAACCCAAAGCCUGCAUCUGAUACUGCUGUGACUAGAGUUCGGUAGGGGAGCGGGGAAUUCCUAGUGUAGCGGUGAAAUGCGCAGAUAUUAGGAGGAACACCGGUGGCGAAGGCGCCGCUCUGGGCCGAAACUGACGCUGAGGAGCGAAAGCGUGGGUAGCAAACAGG